rnacentral:rRNA from 1 species
UGGGGAAUCUUGCGCAAUGCGCGAAAGCGUGACGCAGCAACGCCGCGUGAGGGAAGAAGGCCUUCGGGUUGUAAACCUCUUUCAGGAGGGACGAAGGUUCAGGCGCGAAUAGCGUCCUGGACUGACGGUACCUCCAGAAGAAGCGCCGGCCAACUACGUGCCAGCAGCCGCGGUAAGACGUAGGGCGCGAGCGUUGUCCGGAUUUAUUGGGCGUAAAGAGCUCGUAGGCGGCUUGUUGCGUCAGCUGUGAAAGCCCAUGGCUUAACUGUGGGUUGGCAGCUGAUACGGGCAGGCUAGAGUUCGGUAGGGGAGACUGGAAUUCCUGGUGUAGCGGUGAAAUGCGCAGAUAUCAGGAGGAACACCGGUGGCGAAGGCGGGUCUCUGGGCCGAUACUGACGCUGAGGAGCGAAAGCGUGGGGAGCGAA